UGCAUGUCUCAGUACUUGUUUCAAUAAGACGAAACCGCGAAUGGCUCAUUAAAUCAGUUAUGGUUCACUAGAUCGUAUUACCUACACGGAUAACUGUGGUAAUUCUAGAGCUAAUACGUGCAAACAGCUCGUUCCCUCGUGGAGCGAGCGCAGUUAUUAGAACAAAACCAAUCCGGCCUUCGGGUCGGUUAAAAUGGUGACUCUGAAUAACCGAAGCGGAGCGUAUGGUCUCGUACCGACGCCAGAUCUUUCAAGUGACUGCUCUAUCAGCUUGUUGCUAGGUUAUGCUCCUAGCAAGGCUUCAACGGGUAACGGGGUAUCAGGGUCUGAUACCGGAGAGGGAGCCUGAGAAACGGCUACCACAUCCAAGGAAGGCAGCAGGCGCGCAAAUUACCCACUCCCAGCACGGGGAGGUAGUGACGAAAAAUAACGAUGCGAGGGCUUAUUGCUUCUCGUAAUCGGAAUGGGUACACUUUAAAUCCUUUAACGAGGAUCUAUUGGAGGGCAAGUCUGGUGCCAGCAGCCGCGGUAAUUCCAGCUCCAAUAGCGUAUAUUAAAGUUGCUGCGGUUAAAAAGCUCGUAGUUGGAUCUGGGCAGUUGGAUGGGUGGUGCGCUUUACGCGCUACUGCUCGUUCGGCGCCACAAGCCGAUCUUGUCUUGCAUGCUCUUCACUGAGUGUGCUUGGCGAUCGGAACGUUUACUUUGAAAAAAUUAGAGUGCUCAAAGCAAGCGUAUGGCUUUGAAUAAUGGUGCAUGGAAUGAUGGAAUAGGACCUCGGUUCUAUUUUGUUGGUUAUCGGAGUCGAGGUAAUGAUUAAGAGGAACAGACGGGGACAUUCGUAUUCCGGCGUUAGAGGUGAAAUUCUUGGAUCGUCAGAAGACGAACUA
rnacentral:rRNA from 1 species